rnacentral:rRNA from 1 species
AAGCUCGUAGUUGAAUUUCGGGGUUAGUGGGUUGGUCAUGCCUCUGGUAUGUACUGGUCUCACUGAUUCCUCCUUCCUUAUGAACCGUAAUGCCAUUAAUUUGGUGUUGCGGGGAAUUUGGACUGUUACUUUGAAAAAAUUAGAGUGUUUAAAGCAAGCUAACGCUUGAAUACAUUAGCAUGGAAUAAUGAAAUAGGACGUUCGAUCUUAUUUUGUUUGGUUUCUAGGAUUGACGUAAUGAUUAAUAGGGAUAGUUGGG